rnacentral:rRNA from 1 species
CCUACGGGGGCUGCAGUGGGGAAUAUUGGACAAUGGGCGAAAGCCUGAUCCAGCCAUGCCGCGUGUGUGAAGAAGGCCCUCGGGUUGUAAAGCACUUUCAGUGGGGAAGAAAGCCUUGGGGCUAAUACCCUCGAGGAAGGACAUCACCCACAGAAGAAGCACCGGCUAACUCCGUGCCAGCAGCCGCGGUAAUACGGAGGGUGCGAGCGUUAAUCGGAAUUACUGGGCGUAAAGCGCGCGUAGGCGGUCUGAUAAGCCGGUUGUGAAAGCCCCGGGCUCAACCUGGGAACGGCAUCCGGAACUGUCAGGCUAGAGUGCAGGAGAGGAAGGUAGAAUUCCCGGUGUAGCGGUGAAAUGCGUAGAGAUCGGGAGGAAUACCAGUGGCGAAGGCGGCCUUCUGGACUGACACUGACGCUGAGGUGCGAAAGCGUGGGUAGCAAACAGGAUUAGAUACCCCAGUAGUC